rnacentral:rRNA from 1 species
GGUAUCCUGACCGUGCUAAGGUAGCAUAAUAAGUUGCCUCUUAAUUAGAGGCUAGAAUCAACGAACUAACGCGAGCCCCCCUGUCUCUCUUAUGCCCCCAAAACUUAACCUUUAGGUGAAAAUGCCUAAAUACAACUAAUAGACAAGAAGACCCUAUCGAGCUUCAUUGCAAAUUAUCAAGAGGCCAACUUGCUCACCCCUCCUUCAUAAAGUCGCAAUUUUGUUGGGGCAACAAAGGACCAUCUAAACCUUCCUUAAAUACCUUUAAUAACAAUAACAACGAGCCAAUAAAACGAUCUUAGGAUAAAUGCUACCGUAGGGAUAACAGGUUAAUUUUUCUCGAGAGCCCACAUUAACAGAAAAGUUUGACACCUCGAUGUUGGCUUAGGUUCUCCCGCUAGUGCAGCAGCUAGCCCGGUCGGUUUGUUCAACCCUUAAAAACCUACGUGAUCUGAGU